rnacentral:misc_RNA from 1 species
GUUGGAAGUUUGUAUGAAAGUCUUAUGUUUUUGAAGUAAGAGACUUGAAAUUUAAAAUGUAAGCUCUAUAGGUGGUGAAAAGGUGUCCAAAUAAUGUAUCUUUAGAAAUCAACUCCCUUUUGGGGUUAAAACGGGGGAUGGUAGGUUGACUCACUCAUCACGAAAUCUCCGAAACUAUAAUAGCCAAAACUUGAAAUUUGGCAGACAGACUCCUUAUAAGACGUAAACAUCCGUUAAGAACGGAUUUUACGAAACUCGACCCCUAAAGGGGUAAAACGGGGGUUGGAAGUUUAUAUGAAAGUCCUAUGUUUUUAAAGUAAGAGACUUGAAAUUUAAAAUGUGUCCUCUAUAGAUAGUGAGGAG